AUCCAUCUGAAUAGUGGGAGGGUUUGGGCAAAAAUAUAAGUCCGAAAAAUAAGCUUGGAGAAAAAAAGGCCCGUUUAGAAAAUGAGUCGGACCUCAGGUAAGCUUUUUUUUUGCUCGGGCCUAGCCUGAAUUUGCAAAAAGAAAAAAAUUGUUGUUGCUUUUUCACUAUUUUGUUGUCAUUUCACUAUUGUAUUGCUACUAUUGUUGUUAUUAUUUAGAUAUUG
rnacentral:lncRNA from 1 species